rnacentral:rRNA from 1 species
GACGAACGCUGGCGGCGUGCUUAACACAUGCAAGUCGAGCGGAAAGGCCACUUCGGUGGUACUCGAGCGGCGAACGGGUGAGUAACACGUGAGUAAUCUGCCCCUGGCUUUGGGAUAGCCACCGGAAACGGUGAUUAAUACCGGAUAUGACUAGUUCUCGCAUGGGUUGUGGUGGAAAGUUUUUCGGACAGGGAUUUGCUCGCGGCCUAUCGGCUUGAUGGUGAGGUAAUGGCUCACCAUGGCUUCGACGGGUAGCCGGCCUGAGAGGGUGACCGGUCACACUGGGACUGAGACACGGCCCAGACUCCUACGGGAGGCAGCAGUGGGGAAUAUUGGACAAUGGGCGGAAGCCUGAUCCAGCAACGCCGCGUGAGGGAUGACGGCCUUCGGGUUGUAAACCUCUUUCAGUACCGACGAAGCGCAAGUGACGGUAGGUACAGAAGAAGCACCGGCCAACUACGUGCCAGCCGCCGCCGUAAAAC